AUGUCACAAUGAACCCCACUACCACGUAUAGUUUUAACACAUUAAUUAAAACAUAAAGAGGUGAGGAUAAUAAUAAUUAUGUCCUAGAGUCUUUGUUAAGAUCAGCUAGGUUAGCUUGUGGAAAUCCUGAUGCAUAAUAAGCUGUCUCCUCCUGACCCCUGAAUGUUAGAAGACCUGGGGGAUUAGUUCUGAGCCCUUGUAUCUGCUCACAUUCUCUCUAAGUGGGCACGCCCAUUAUUGUGGCUUUAAGUCUUAUUCAUCUAUCCUCCGUUUUCACCUCUAAUCUAUAUCUUUGGUCCACUUAGCAUACAUGUUUCAGAGCAUCUCAAAAUUUGCAUGUAUAAAUUUGAAUUUUCAUCUUUCCCUUAUUCCCCAAGGCUUUCCUUCCUCUGCUCUUCUCUAUUUCAGUGAUAGACACCACCAUCUCUCCCGUUAAGACAGAAACCUGGAAAUUAUCUGUGAUGUGUCUUUCCCAUCUUCCUGAAAUAUAACUCUGAAAUUUGUCUUUCUCCAUAUCCAGCGUGUAUCUCCAAUCUCCCUCUCUCUCAAAUAUAUCUCCUCCCCCCAACCUCUCCUCCCUUUCCUUAUCAUUUCUACCCUGCAUGGCAGCCAUGCCGAUCCUUGGGAGAUGUAAACCAGAUGUCACCCCCUUACUUAAAAUUCCUCAGUGAAGUCUUGUUGCACUUGGAAUCUAAACUUCAUAACCUUUAGAAUCUUCCCAUCAGAGAUUCCUUGUGAUCAUAAACUACCCACUGACAUUCCAUGUUCACUGACUUCAUAUUCAGGAUUCCCAAGACCACUCUCAGGUUCAACGAUUCACCAGAAGGACUUAAAAAACUCAGAAAACCUGCUAUAGUUAUGGCUUAUUGUGACAAAAAGGAUGCAGAUUAAAAUCAACAAUGGAAAAAGACACAUAGUUCAGAGUCCAGGAAAAACCAACCAUGAGGGACCAAGUGCUCUCUCCUGGGAGAUUCCUGUGAAUAGCCCUUAAUUCGUCUAAUGAUGAUGUGGGUGACAACACUUAGAGAUUGCCAACCAGGAAGUUCACUCAAGACUCGGUGUCCAAGAGUUCUGCCUGACCAAUGGUAUCAUCCACAUCCACAGGGAAGAACUCAGCUCCCAAUAUGCCUGUUGCUCUUGCAGAAACCACAGAACCCUGGGAAGACAUGCUUUCUUACCCCUGAAGCCCAAUUUUCUGGGGGGCAUCAGGCAUAAAAAACAUCUGAUGACAUUCCUCCCAUCUCAGAUCUCUUCUGCUAAAAACGAAAGUUACAGAAGAAUAUGUGGCGACUAAGAUGAUUUAUAUAAUUCAACAUUGCCCUGUCAGAUGCACUUCAUCAGAACCCCCACCCGUCUCUGCGCUGGGUGAUCACACACCAAAUCCAUCAGAGGAACAAACUGUCAAUGGAAGCUCCAUAAUAUUUGAUUUUACCAGGGUAAAUUUUAUGCUAUUUUUAUUCAAAGAUCUGUACUCAUUCAGUGCUUUGAGGGAAAAAGUCUUGAAGGAAAGGGAUUCGGUUGAAAUAAACAAAGAAAAAAAAAAACGAUAAAUGACUUCCCAGUCCCACUGAACUUAGAGUACCCAAUUCAC